rnacentral:rRNA from 1 species
CCUACGGGAGGCUGCAGUAGGGAAUAUUGGACAAUGGGCGCAAGCCUGAUCCAGCCAUCCCGCGUGAAGGAUUAAGGCCCUCUGGGUUGUAAACUUCUUUUCUUUGGGAAUAAAACCUCCGAUUCAUCGGAGCUUGAAGGUACCAGAGGAAUAAGCACCGGCUAACUCCGUGCCAGCAGCCGCGGUAAUACGGAGGGUGCAAGCUUUAUCCGGUUUCACUGGGUCGUAGGGGUCCGUAGGUGGCAGUGUAGAAAGCCCGGAGCUCAACUCCGGAACUGCCAUUUAUACUGCUUAGCUUGAAUCAGGUCGAGGGGGAUGGAAUAGUACAUGUAGCGGUGAAAUGCUUAGAUAUGUAAUAGAACACCGAUUGCGAAGGCAGUUCACUAGGCCUGUAUUGACACUGAGGCACGAAAGCGUGGGGAUCAAACAGGAUUAGAUACCCUUGUAGUC